CCACCCUCGAGCCCGCCUCGGCGCUGGGGGACGGCCCCGCGCCGCCCCCGAAAUGCAGUGGCGACCCCGCCGCGGCCUCCCCUGCGCAGUAGCUCACAGAGAACCUCGCACCGGACGCGCGGAGGCGGUCACGCCGUGAAACGCCCCACG
rnacentral:misc_RNA from 1 species